rnacentral:tRNA from 1 species
GGUUGUAGCUCAGUGGCAGAGCGCUUGUCUUGCACAUAUGAGGUACUGGGUUCGAUCCUCAGCACUA